rnacentral:rRNA from 1 species
AGAGGAAGUWAAAGUCGUAACAAGGUUUCCGUAGGUGAACCUGCGGAAGGAUCAUUACUGAACUGUCGACACGAGUUGUUGCUGGUCCUCAAAUGGGGGCAUGUGCACACUCUGUUUACAUACCCACUCACACCUGUGCACCCUCUGUAGUUCUAUGGUGUGGGGGACUCUGUCUUCCCACUGUGGUUCUAUGUCUUUACACACACACACAGUGAUAAAGUYUCAUGGAAUGUACAUCGCGUUUAACGCAAUACAAUACAACUUUCAGCAACGGAUCUCUUGGCUCUCGCAUCGAUGAAGAACGCAGCGAAAUGCGAUAAGUAAUGUGAAUUGCAGAAUUCAGUGAAUCAUCGAAUCUUUGAACGCACCUUGCGCCCUUUGGCUAUUCCGAAGGGCAUGCCUGUUUGAGUAUCAUGAACACCUCAACUCUCAUGGUUUGCCAUGAUGAGCUUGGACUUUGGGGGUCUUGCUGGCCUAUGGUCAGCUCCUCUAAAAUGAAUCAGCUUGCCAGUGUUUGGUGGCAUCACAGGUGUGAUAACUAUCUACGCUUGUGAAUUUCCACCAGAUAACCUUCAGCAAUGAAGGUUCGCUGGGGCUCAUAAAUGUCUCUCCUCAGYGGAGACGGCUCUUUUGAAUGUUUGAUCUCAAAUCAGGUAGGACUACCCGCUGAACUUAAGCAUAUCAAUAAGCGGAGGAAAAGAAACUAACAAGGA